AGUGAACGCUGGCGGUAGGCCUAACACAUGCAAGUCGAACGGCAGCACAGUAAGAGCUUGCUCUUACGGGUGGCGAGUGGCGGACGGGUGCGGAAUACAUCGGAAUCUACUUUUUCGUGGGGGAUAACGUAGGGAAACUUACGCUAAUACCGCAUACGACCUACGGGUGAAAGCAGGGGAUCUUCGGACCUUGCGCGAUUGAAUGAGCCGAUGUCGGAUUAGCGAGUUGGCGGGGUAAAGGCCCACCAAGGCGACGCUCCGUAGCUGGUCUGAGAGGAUGAUCAGCCACACUGGAACUGAGACACGGUCCAGACUCCUACGGGAGGCAGCAGUGGGGAAUAUUGGACAAUGGGCGCAAGCCUGAUCCAGCCAUACCGCGUGGGUGAAGAAGGCCUUCGGGUUGUAAAGCCCUUUUGUUUGGAAAGAAAAGCAGCAGGUUAAUACCCCGCUGUUCUGACGGUACCCAAAGAAUAAGCACCGGCUAACUUCGUG
rnacentral:rRNA from 1 species